GACGAACGCUGGCGGCGUGCUUAACACAUGCAAGUCGAACGGAAAGGCCCUGCUUUUGUGGGGUGCUCGAGUGGCGAACGGGUGAGUAACACGUGAGUAACCUGCCCUUGACUUUGGGAUAACUUCAGGAAACUGGGGCUAAUACCGGAUAGGAGCUCCUGCUGCAUGGUGGGGGUUGGAAAGUUUCGGCGGUUGGGGAUGGACUCGCGGCUUAUCAGCUUGUUGGUGGGGUAGUGGCUUACCAAGGCUUCGACGGGUAGCCGGCCUGAGAGGGUGACCGGCCACAUUGGGACUGAGAUACGGCCCAGACUCCUACGGGAGGCAGCAGUGGGGAAUAUUGCACAAUGGGCGGAAGCCUGAUGCAGCAACGCCGCGUGCGGGAUGACGGCCUUCGGGUUGUAAACCGCUUUCGCCUGUGACGAAGCGUGAGUGACGGUAAUGGGUAAAGAAGCACCGGCUAACUACGUGCCAGCAGCCGCGGUGAUACGUAGGGUGCGAGCGUUGUCCGGAUUUAUUGGGCGUAAAGGGCUCGUAGGUGGUUGAUCGCGUCGGAAGUGUAAUCUUGGGGCUUAACCCUGAGCGUGCUUUCGAUACGGGUUGACUUGAGGAAGGUAGGGGAGAAUGGAAUUCCUGGUGGAGCGGUGGAAUGCGCAGAUAUCAGGAGGAACACCAGUGGCGAAGGCGGUUCUCUGGGCCUUUCCUGACGCUGAGGAGCGAAAGCGUGGGGAGCGAACAGGCUUAGAUACCCUGGUAGUCCACGCUGUAAACGGUGGGUACUAGGUGUGGGGUCCAUUCCACGGGUUCCGUGCCGUAGCUAGCGCUUUAAGUACCCCGCCUGGGGAGUACGGCCGCAAGGCUAAAACUCAAAGGAAUUGACGGGGCCCCGCACAAGCGGCGGAGCAUGCGGAUUAAUUCGAUGCAACGCGUAGAACCUUACCUGGGUUUGACAUGGAUCGGGAGCGCUCAGAGAUGGGUGUGCCUCUUUUGGGGUCGGUUCACAGGUGGUGCAUGGCUGUCGUCAGCUCGUGUCGUGAGAUGUUGGGUUAAGUCCCGCAACGAGCGCAACCCUUGUUCACUGUUGCCAGCACGUUAUGGUGGGGACUCAGUGGAGACCGCCGGGGUCAACUCGGAGGAAGGUGGGGAUGACGUCAAGUCAUCAUGCCCCUUAUGUCCAGGGCUUCACGCAUGCUACAAUGGCUGGUACAGAGAGUGGCGAGCCUGUGAGGGUGAGCGAAUCUCGGAAAGCCGGUCUCAGUUCGGAUUGGGGUCUGCAACUCGACCUCAUGAAGUCGGAGUCGCUAGUAAUCGCAGAUCAGCAACGCUGCGGUGAAUACGUUCCCGGGGCU
rnacentral:rRNA from 1 species